CAUUUUGCCUUGCUGAUGAGGCUGAGCUAGAGAGAGCUAGAGAGACCUGGAAAUGAAAGUAAAAAAGACCAAGAGGCACAUGGAGGGAGCUGUAUCGGCAACAGCUCUAGGAAAAGAAUGCUGCCUUCUAUAAUUAAAUAGCAAUUACUAGUAUUAUUAUUAAAAGUAAUAAUGCUCUAAUAAUAUCUCUAGUAAUAUCAUACUAUUUAAUCGAGGCGAGGUGAUCAUAGUGUAGAGGGCAUACCCAAGCAGAGGCGUGACUGUAAUGGAGAGACAAAAAAGGAAAGAGGAGAUAGAGAAGGGACUUCAGUUCAUCCAGCAGUGGGGUAACAAUGCGUUCUACCAUGUUAAAUCGAGAUUACCACCACCACCCCAGGCCCUUCUGGCGGUUCACAUCAGCACAAAAG